GUGCGUGUUCAGCUGGGUGCCUGGAACGUACAGGCUGCACAUUACAUAGCAAAUGGCUUAUACGACUCUUACCACGGAGAUCAGGCCUGUGUCAGUGUCCUGGGGCUGCCAUCACAAGUUACAGCAACCUGUACGGCUUACAACAACAGAAAUUGAUUAUCUCACAGUGCUGGAGGCUACAAGUCUGAAAUCAAGGGCCGAGGUUUCAAUUUCUGCGGAAGGUGGUGGAAUAUCUACUCUGUGCACCAGGUCCUACAUUUUAACUCUUGAGAUGCAGGUGUCUGCCGCUGAAACCAGCCUGAGUGUCCAUUCAUGGAACUGACCGCUUAGCCAGUGGGAUUCCAAGAUAACCCUGCACUCAAGGGAAGAAAGACACACAACAGGGCACUAAAGGGAAAGAGCCAGGUUGCUCCCGUUUCCUAGGGAAUUUGGGGAAAUCUACCCAGGGUUGAAGAUUAACCCGAAAGCUCUUUGUUAUCAAGAGAAGGCUUUUAAUAUAGGCAGUACUGAAGGAGGGGGAAACAAUGUUUUCCAAAAUGGAAGAAAUCUGAGGGAUUUUCAAGCAG